UCGUUACUUCACCUUGUCGGAUGUUUUUGUUUUGUUUGCCUGUGAAUUUCAAAAGUUGUACGUCAUUUAUGCGAGGUCGUCACCAGCGAUCUGGGGGCCCGACACCGGAAGCUGUCAACUUCUGGAAUCCGCCAUCUUGAUAAGGUUUUUUCAGACUCAGAGAAGCUGCAACUCACAUGGUUUGGAAUGUCAAGAUUGUUGUUGGGCAACCGCACGCAGUUCCUGCUCAUCUUAUUGACCAGGUCUUCCCUGACAAUGACGAUUUCCUGGCUGCAGUACUGAAUCCUGACAGGAAAAACAAGCCAUGACAAUGUAGGAUGGUGCCUGGACCAGGGUCUUCAGGACCAGGGACAAACACAAAGCGACUACUGCAGGAUUAGGAUGAACAAAUGUAAAGUCAAACAUAUGGAAACUUUAGUAAUUAACAAUAGACCAGAGAGACAACCGUCAGAUCCUACCUGCUGUGAAUGUUGGGGUAUGCACUUAUGGCAUCAGCAAGAGCCUUCAGCGACUCUAAAAAGAGAAAAAUGAAUGAGAUUCCAAACGGCAGUCAUUUAUUCCUCAUUAAUUCACACAGAGAUCUUCAUAAGUGCAAUAGCUCAUGGGGGAUGAGGACCAGAAAGUUUCACCUUUGAGUGAUUUGAUCUGUGUUUUUCCAUAUGGGGCAGAAGAAAAGUUCCCGCACAAAAUAAAACAGGUGGGAGGCAUUGCCGCAUAGCCUGUAAAAAAAAGAAUAAGUGAAGCCAAAUGUGAAUGGUUUCUCAUAGUGUGCUUAUUAAAGUGUAUGACUGUGGUGCAAUACCAGACCUGAGAAC